rnacentral:rRNA from 1 species
AAUCAACGCUGGCGGCGUGCCUCAGACAUGCAAGUCGAACGCGAAAGUCCCCUUCGGGGGAUGAUUAGAGUGGCGUCCGGGUGAGUAACACGUGGGUAAUCUACCUUCGGGUGGGGAAUAACAGUCGGAAACGACUGCUAAUACCGCAUAAUGCAGCGGCACCUAAUGGUGACAGUUGUUAAAGCGGGGGAUCGCAAGACCUCGCGCCUGAAGAGGAGCCCGCGGCGGAUUAGCUAGUUGGCAGGGUAACGGCCUACCAAGGCGACGAUCCGUAGCCGGCCUGAGGAGGGCGGUCGGCCACACUGGCACUGACAUACGGGCCAGACUCC